rnacentral:rRNA from 1 species
AUGACGUCCGGGUCCUGGUGCGCGCCGUGGGGCCGGGGCGGCGGGGUCCAGUCUCGCGGCGAAAGCGGCGGCGGCCGGUUCAGCGUCUUCACGGCGAUCCUCCCGUCGCUGGGCGCGCAGCACAGCCACAGCUUCAGACGGACCAGUGUCCGGCGCUGGGUCGUGUCCCCCUACGACCCUCGCUACCGGCUGUGGGACAGCUACCUCGUCUGCCUCGUGCUCUACUCCGCGUGGGUGUCCCCUUUCGAGUUCGGCUUCCUCCAGAACCCCCACGGCGCGCUGGCCAUCGCCGACAACACCGUCAACGUCUUCUUCGCCAUGGACAUCGUCCUCACCUUCUUCGUCGCCUACACCGACAAGAGGACCUACCUGCUCGUUGACGAGCCCGCCAAGAUCGCCUGGCGCUACGCCAGCACCUGGCUCGUCCUGGACGUCGCCUCCACCGUGCCCACCGAGCUCUCCCGCCGGAUCCUCCCUCCCGACCUCCGAACCUACGGCGUCUUCGGCAUGCUCCGCCUCUGGCGACUCCGGCGCGUCGGUGCCCUCCUGUCCCGCAUGGAGAAGGACCGCAAGUUCAGCUACUUCUGGGUCCGGUGCUCCAAGCUCGUGGCCGUAACGCUCUUCGCCGUGCAUUGCUCUGGGUGCUUCUACUAUCUCCUCGCCGACCGGUACCCGAACCCGGCCGAGACCUGGAUCAGCAUCUCCAUGCCGCACUUCCACACCGAGAGCCUUUGGAACCGCUACGUGGCGUCCAUGUACUGGUCCAUCACCACCCUCACAACUGUGGGCUACGGCGACAUGCACGCCGUCAACUCGAGGGAGAUGCUCUUCACCACCUUCUACAUGCUCUUCAAUCUCGGCCUCACCGCCUACCUCAUCGGCAACAUGACCAACCUCGUCGUCCACGGCACCAGCCGCACCAGGAAAUACAGGGACAAGAUCCAGGCGGCAACGAGCUUCGCGCAGCGGCACGAGCUGCCGAAGCGGCUGCAGGAUCAGAUGAUCUCUCACCUCAGCCUGAAAUUCAGGACGCACUCAGAGGGGCUCCAGCAGCAGGAGACGCUGGACGCGCUGCCCAAAGCAUUAAGGUCCAGCAUCUCGCACCACCUCUUCUUCGGGCUGGUCCAGAACGUCUACCUCUUCCAGGGGGUCUCCAAUGACCUCAUCUUCCAGCUGGUGUCUGAGAUGAGCGCCGGGUACUUUGCGCCGCGGGAAGACGUGAUACUGCAGAACGAAGCGCCCUCGGAUUUCUACAUCAUUGUCACUGGUAGUGUGGAGUUGCUGGAAAUCCAGAAUGGUGCAGAGCAGCUGGCCAGCAUGACCAAGUCCGGCGAAGUCAUCGGCGAGAUCGGGGUCCUGUGCUACAGGCCUCAGCUCUUCACGGCCCGGACAAAGUCCCUGUGCCAGCUCCUGCGCCUGGACCGCGCCAACUUUCUCAAGGUCGUCCAGUCUAAUGUUGGGGAUGCCACCAUAAUCAUGAACAACCUCAUCCAGUACCUCAAGGAACACAAGGGUGACGGCGGGAUCUCUCGCAUCGCCAAGGACAUCGAGCGCAUGCUUGCCACAGGCCAGCUUGAUCUGCCAAUCACGCUCUGCUUCGCGGCGUCCAGAGGAGAUGACUUUCUGAUGCACCAGCUGCUGAAGCGCGGCCUGGACCCCAAUGAGACCGAUAACUGCGGCCGUACAGCACUGUCAUUCAUGGCAAAGAGCCACAGCCGUGCGUCAGGUUCUGAGGUUGCCCACAUGUGCUCGACCAUCUCGGCUUCUGAAAAAAAACGCCCCCUUGGAUCAUCAUUCCACGCCCAGAAAUCGUCCACAAGCCGUGUACAGAGCGGUAUUUGCAAGAUCGCCUCCACAUCAAUGGGUAUGAACACCUGUCUAAGCAAGUCCUCUCGCCACGCAGCUCUAGUGUGGUCGAUCAGAUCAGAAACCAGUUGCGGUGGGUCAGCAACUAAGGAGGCUACCGGCUUCAUCAUUCCGUCCCUUGGGAUCCAACUAUGUUGCCAUAUGUUCGUGGUAGUUCCAUCACCAAUACGCCGGAUAGCUCCUUGGGUGAUAAUAUCUCUCCCAUCAAGUAUAGAUCGCCACACCUGA